UUUCACGUGAGUUUUUUUUUUUGUUUGCUAGAGAAGAUGAAUAGCUCUCGUGAAGAUGAAUAACUCUUCGUGAACAAGGUUAAGAAAUGUGUGAUUAGGGACCAUAUGAUUCUUAAUACGAAAGGAGUGGAUUCUGGGGUAAAUCCCUCAGUCAUGGACACAAUAGACUUGUCAAAUGCAACGCACAAAGAAGCUCGUAGAGCCUGUAAUUCUAUCUUUCAAUGGUCCUUUGGUAAAUACAAGAAAGUUCAU